AUACGGAGGGGGCUAGCGUUGUUCGGAAUUACUGGGCGUAAAGCGCGCGUAGGCGGCCUGUCUAGUCGGGCGAGAAAGCCCGGGGCUCAACCCCGGAGGUGCGCACGAAACUGGCGGGCUCGAGACCGGAAGAGGAGAGUGGAAUUCCCAGUGUAGAGGUGAAAUUCGUAGAUAUUGGGAAGAACACCAGUGGCGAAGGCGGCUCUCUGGUCCGGUACUGACGCUGAGGCGCGAAAGCGUGGGGAGCAAACAGGAUUAGAAACCCCGGUAGUCC
rnacentral:rRNA from 1 species